GGCGUAAAGAGCUUGUAGGCGGUUUGUCGCGUCUGCUGUGAAAAUCCGGGGCUCAACCCCGGACUUGCAGUGGGUACGGGCAGACUAGAGUGUGGUAGGGGAGACUGGAAUUCCUGGUGUAGCGGUGAAAUGCGCAGAUAUCAGGAGGAACACCGAUGGCGAAGGCAGGUCUCUGGGCCACUACUGACGCUGAGAAGCGAAAGCAUGGGGAGCGAACAGGAUUAGAUACCCUGGUAGUCCAUGCCGUAAACGUUGGGCGCUAGGUGUGGGACUCAUUCCACGAGUUCCGUGCCGCAGCUAACGCAUAAAGCGCCCCGCCUGGGGGAGUACGGCCGCAAGGCUAAAACUCAAAAGGAAUUGACGGGGGCCCGCACAAGCGGCGGAGCAUGCGGAUUAAUUCGAUGCAACGCGAAGAACCUUACCAAGGCUUGACAUAUACCGGAAACUUCCAGAGAUGGUUGCCCCCUUUGGGUCGGUAUACAGGUGGUGCAUGGUUGUCGUCAGCUCGUGUCGUGAGAUGUUGGGUUAAGUCCCGCAACGAGCGCAACCCUCGUUCUAUGUUGCCAGCACGUAAUGGUGGGGACUCAUGGAAGACUGCCGGGGUCAACUCGGGGGAAGGUGGGGAUGACGUCAAAUCAUCAUGCCCCUUAUGUCUUGGGCUUCACGCAUGCUACAAUGGCCGGUACAAAGGGCUGCGAUGCCGUAAGGUGGAGCGAAUCCCAAAAAACCGGUCUCAGUUCGGAUUGGGGUCUGCAACUCGACCCCAUGAAGUCGGAGUCGCUAGUAAUCGC
rnacentral:rRNA from 1 species